AAUAGAUACCCGGGUAGUCCACGCCGUAAACGAUGAGUGCUAAGUGUUAGGGGGUUUCCGCCCCUUAGUGCUGCAGCUAACGCAUUAAGCACUCCGCCUGGGGAGUACGGCCGCAAGGCUGAAACUCAAAGGAAUUGACGGGGGCCCGCACAAGCGGUGGAGCAUGUGGUUUAAUUCGAAGCAACGCGAAGAACCUUACCAGGUCUUGACAUCCUCUGAAAAUCCUAGAGAUAGGACGUUUCCCUUCGGGGAACAGAGUGACAGGUGGUGCAUGGUUGUCGUCAGCUCGUGUCGUGAGAUGUUGGGUUAAGUCCCGCAACGAGCGCAACCCUUGAUCUUAGUUGCCAGCAUUCAGUUGGGCACUCUAAGGUGACUGCCGGUGACAAACCGGAGGAAGGUGGGGAUGACGUCAAAUCAUCAUGCCCCUUAUGACCUGGGCUACACACGUGCUACAAUGGAUGGUACAAAGGGCUGCAAGACCGCGAGGUUUAGCCAAUCCCAUAAAACCAUUCUCAGUUCGGAUUGCAGGCUGCAACCG
rnacentral:rRNA from 1 species